CCCGUGUUCCUGGCCCCGGAGGCCCGGUUUGAGGAGGGAGUUGCUGGGGGCUCCAGUCCCCUCCACUCUCUCGAGUUUUAUUCGGAAACUGGCCAGUUUGUCAGUAACCCAGUGUGUCCCCAGCACGACCCAGCAGCCAGGGCUUCAUGCCCCAGGCCUCAGCCGGGCACACAGACUGCCCGGGUGGGCCGAGUUCCCACCCCAUGCAAGGGGACCCUUAGAAUGGCAGGGCCGCCCUGGUCUGAGACUGAGUUCAGAGCUGUGAGGCUGGCGCUCUAGAGGAGCCUGGGACGGCUGGCCACAGCCGCCAGCCUCAGGAAGCACAACGCCGUCCUGUCACUGCCCAGCCCGGCCAGGUGGGCGGGGGCUGGGGCCCAGCAAGGAUGUCGUGUGUGCGGGGCCUCACCCUCCCCUCCUUCCCUUCCAGUUUGACAAGUAUGCGCCCAAGCUGGACAGCCCCUACUUCCGACAUUCCAGCUUCUUCCCGUCCUUCCCUCCUGCCAUCCCGGGACUGCCCACCCUGCUCCCACACCCCGGCCCCUUCGGGUCCCUGCAGGGCGCUUUUCAGCCCAAGACUUCAAGCCCCAUUGAGGUGGCCCGCCGGGCUGGUGCGGUUCACUCACUCCUGCAGAAAGCACCUGGGGUGUCUGACCCGUACCGGGCAGUGGUCAAGAAGCCAGGGAGGUGGUGUGCCGUGCACGUGCAGAUCGCCUGGCAGAUCUACCGCCACCAGCAGAAGAUAAAGGAGAUGCAGCUGGACCCCCACAAGCUGGAGGUGGGUGCGAAGCUGGACCUGUUCGGCAGACCCCCCGCCCCGGGCGUGUUUGCAGGCUUCCACUACCCACAGGACCUGGCCCGGCCCCUCUUCCCCAGCACAGGUGCCGCCCAUCCUGCCUCCAACCCAUUUGGACCCUCAGCCCAUCCUGGCAGCUUCCUCCCCGCUGGCCCCCUGACAGACCCUUUCAGCAGACCGAGCACCUUUGGGGGCCUGGGGAGCCUGAGCAGCCACGCCUUUGGGGGCCUGGGCAGCCACGCACUGGCUCCCGGUGGCAGCAUCUUUGCCCCCAAGGAGGGCUCCUCCGUGCACGGCCUGCCCAGCCCCCACGAGGCCUGGAACCGACUGCACCGGGCACCGCCCUCCUUCCCGGCUCCGCCCCCGUGGCCCAAGUCCGUGGACGCGGAGCGGGUGUCAGCCCUGACCAACCAUGACCGAGAGCCGGACAAUGGCAAGGAGGAGCAGGAACGG
rnacentral:sRNA from 1 species